rnacentral:rRNA from 1 species
UACAUGAAGCUGGAAUCGCUAGUAAUCGCGGAUCAGAAUGCCGCGGUGAAUACGUUCCCGGGUCUUGUACACACCGCCCGUCACACCAUGGGAGUCGGAAAUGCCCGAAGUCAGUGACCCAACCGUAAGGAGGGAGCUGCCGAAGGUGGAGCCGGUAACUGGGGUGAAGUCGUAACAAGGUAUC